rnacentral:rRNA from 1 species
CUUGACCUCGGAUCAGGUAGGGAUACCCGCUGAACUUAAGCAUAUCAAUAAGCCGGAGGAA